ACAUGGCAUCCCGUAAGUGAGCACACGCACCCGUGCAGAGGCAGAGCGUACACCAAGGCUUGCGUAAGGCAAACUCAGGCCACACAGACCGAGCCGUCGCUGGCACUGUGCCGCUCACAGCCACCCACACGGGAAGGAGGCGACACCCCGGACAGCCGCCUGAGCAGAGGUUCAAAGGGCCUCCAGAACUAGCAUAAAUCAGACAGUAAGGAGACUUCAAGGCUACAACCAGCAGCAGCAGCUGCAGCUACUCAAGAUAACAGCCUGACUGGAGACAGUGAAGGAAUCCAAGAAGUCAGAAGUGUCAGAGAAUCUCAGGCUCUUAUCCAAAAGUCUGCUCAGCAAGUUUGCUGAUGACACUGAACUGGGAGGCUCAGCUGAGACACCUGAAGGCUGUGAGGCUGUUCAGUGAGACUUGAACAGAGAAAGAGGGCAGAGGAACCUAGUGAGGGUUGACAAAGAAGAGUGCAGAGUCCUGCACCUGGGAAGGACCAAUAAAAUGCACCAGUACAGGUGGCUCUUCUUAUUAAGCAGUUUUCAAGCUGUGGUUUUCAUUGUCUUCCUCCAGUGGUUUUCUCUGUCUGUUUCCCACUCACUCAUGUUCCCUUCUCAGCUUUACGGAGUCACUGGACACAGAUGCCAUGAAAGAGUAAAAUGGCACUGAAAAGAAUCUAUGUCGUGUGGAGUCUCCUUCUCUGGAGGCUUUCAACCCUUGUCUGGCUGUGUUCCUGUGUCACCUGUGCUAGAUUCUGUGGUCCAGCUCUGGCAGGGGGGUUGGACUCCACUAUCUCUGGAGGUCCCUUCCAACCCCUAACAUGCUAUGAAACUGUGGUAUUUGAAACCUAAGUAAUCUGAUAACAAAUAUGCUUACUCAUCCAAUUAAAAAAUUCCUAUGAUAUCUAAAGUCACCUUCACUUAAUUAUGCACCAUAACCUUUCUGGAGGGGACAACAUGAGCUCACUUGUCUUAAACAAAUUGAUAGUCUCUAAAGGUACACAGGACUACACAGAGAUCAGGCCAAAGAUAUGGAAAUUAUGUCCUUUAGUUAUGAUUCAUACCACAGCUAAUAUCAUAACAUCCUUUAUUAAAAAACAAAUAAACAAACCCCAACAGUGUCUGGU